UCUGAACCGUCGAUUUUCCUUUUGUUGUUAUAAUUGAGUUUUUCCUGCUCUGACUGUCUCUGUCCCUGUCCCUCUCUUGAUGGGUUGGUGCGGGACCACUGAAUGAGAUGUAUCCAGUUCAGAUCUGCAUGGAAAUGGUGUCUUUCUUUUUUCAAGCAGUAAAGUGGUUUGCCGAUUUGGGUUCAUUAAGAGAAAAAAGGAAUUACUUAGAGAUUUUGGUGCAAUUUCUGCUUCUGGGCUUUGUUGGGCGCGUGUUUGAUCGUGACCCGGAUGAUGAAAUUGACGGUUUUCCCGAAAUGUAAUUCAAAGUUAUUAGAGGUUGGUCUGUCUCAGUCCCUAGUCCAUUGGGUUGGGCUGAGUUGGAGAGAUCAUGUGCACGUUUGGGUGGAUAAUUGUAUCAAGUUGCUGUUAUUAGUCUAAUAAAGUGGAAAUUCUCA